GGGAUUCAAGUGAUGAUUGAAAGCAUAGUUCAAAUGAAUUAUUUUGUGAUUAAAAAAUUCUUUCGCCCCUAUCUGAUGAAUCUC
rnacentral:snoRNA from 1 species